rnacentral:rRNA from 1 species
CGGUAAUACCAGCUCUCCGAGUGGUGUGGAUGUUUAUUGGGCCUAAAGCAUCCGUAGCUGGCUGAGUUAGUCCCUUGUUAAAUCCACCGAAUUAAUCGUUGGCGUGCGGGGGAUACUGCUCGGCUAGGGGACGAGAGAGGCAGACGGUAUUCUCGGGGUAGGGGUGAAAUCCUAUAAUCCCGAGAAGACCACCAGUGGCGAAGGCUGUCGGCUAGAACGCG